rnacentral:rRNA from 1 species
AUUGAACGCUGGCGGCAGGCCUAACACAUGCAAGUCGAGCGGAGCGGCGGACGGGUGAGUAAUGCCUAGGAAUCUGCCUGGUAGUGGGGGAUAACGUCCGGAAACGGGAGCUAAUACCGCAUACUCACAGAUGAGCCUAGGUCGGAUUAGCUCGGUGGUGGGGUAACGGCCUACCAAGGCGACGAUCCGUAACUGGUCUGAGAGGAUGAUCAGGCACACUGGAACGGAGACACGGUCCAGACUCCGACGGGAGGCAGCAGUGGGGAAGAUUGGGCAAUGGGCGAAAGCCUGAUCCAGCCAUGCCGCGUGUGUGAAGAAGGUCUUCGGAUUUUAAAGCACUUUAAGUUGGGAGGCGUUACCAACAGAAUAAGCACCGGCUAACUUCGUGCCAGCAGCCGCGGUAAUAC